rnacentral:tRNA from 2 species
GGAGAGGUGACCGAGCGGCUGAAGGUGCACGCUUGGAAAGCGUGUGUACGUCACAAGCGUACCGCGGGUUCGAAUCCCGCCCUCUCCGCCA